ACAAGCAACGUGAGAGAAGCUCGGGUAGAGGUGCGAAGAGCUGGGAGCGCAGGGCGGGGACCUCGCAUGGGAGGGUGCGGGCGGGAGCCCGCCUCGCGAGCCCGGGCUACGGCCGCUUCUCCCGACCGUGACUGGGACCCGGGCAGGGAAGGUCGCUACAAAGCCUGCCAGGGCGAACCGAGGGCAGCUUUGUGGGGAGCCAUGCCAGGAAGCUUGGGAACCGUGAGCCACAAGAGAACCGCGUUGUUUUUUGAAUGUUUUGCACGCAGCCAGAGGAAGUCUGGUUCAUCCGAGUCGGCCAGCCGAGCACAUCUGGAAGUGGUUUCUGGGGCCGCCCCUCUCUGACAGCGCAACUCCUGGGUUCCCAGCACAGAGGUGGAAGAAACCCGAGACGCUCCAAAGUCAACGCAAGCAAAGGGGAGUGCGGGUCGGGGAGGAAUAUUCUUUUGGAAACGUAAUAUUGGCCUUGGGGAUCGCCAGCCCUUUGGGACUUCCAAUGAGAUCUUAGAAGCGGCAGAAGCAUCGUGAGGGCGGCAGCCCAGGGCCAGCCACGAUUUGAACGCUCUGCCUUACAGCUCUUCUGGACCGAGGAGCCCAAAGCCCUACCCUCACCAUUCACCAGAAUCUGUCUUAGGAAGCUGUUCUGAGGAUCUCCAUCCCCCCAGAAAGAACUGGCCAUUGUGGAAAUCCAAGUGAGGCUUAUUG